GACGAACGCUGGCGGCGUGCCUAAUACAUGCAAGUUGAGCGCUGAAGGUUGGUACUUGUACCGACUGGAUGAGCAGCGAACGGGUGAGUAACGCGUGGGGAAUCUGCCUUUGAGCGGGGGACAACAUUUGGAAACGAAUGCUAAUACCGCAUAAAAACUUUAAACACAAGUUUUAAGUUUGAAAGAUGCAAUUGCAUCACUCAAAGAUGAUCCCGCGUUGUAUUAGCUAGUUGGUGAGGUAAAGGCUCACCAAGGCGAUGAUACAUAGCCGACCUGAGAGGGUGGUCGGCCACAUUGGGAGUGAGACACGGCCCAAACUCCUACGGGAGGCAGCAGUAGGGAAUCUUCGGCCAUGGACGAAAGUCUGACCGAGCAACGCCGAGUGAGUGAAGAAGGGUGUCGGAUCGGAAAACUCGGUUGGUAGAGAAGAACGUUGGUGAGAGUGGAAAGCUCAUCAAGUGACGGUAACUACCCAGAAAGGGACGGCUAACUACGUG
rnacentral:rRNA from 1 species